GAUGAACGCUGGCGGCGUGCCUAAUACAUGCAAGUCGAGCGGCAGCACGGUCUUCGGACUGGUGGCGAGCGGCGGACGGCUGAGUAACGCGUAGGAACGUACCCCAAAGUGAGGGAUAAGCACCAGAAAUGGUGUCUAAUACCGCAUGUGGUCUAAGGAUUAAAGCUUCGGCGCUUUGGGAACGGCCUGCGUAAGAUUAGCUAGUUGGUGAGGUAAUGGCUCACCAAGGCGACGAUCUUUAGCUGGUCUGAGAGGAUGAUCAGCCAGACUGGGACUGAGACACGGCCCAGACUCCUACGGGAGGCAGCAGUAGGGAAUUUUCCACAAUGGGCGAAAGCCUGAUGGAGCAACGCCGCGUGCAGGAUGAAGGCCUUAGGGUUGUAAACUGCUUUUAUAUGUGACGAAUAUGACGGUAGCAUAUGAAUAAGGAUCGGCUAACUCCGUGCCAGCAGCCGCCGUAA
rnacentral:rRNA from 1 species